GAAACGACUGAGGGUUAUUUUCAUUUUCGUCGAGGGAGAAUUACAAACUUGACGAGCAUAUAUUUCCGGCACGCUCCGGAUGUGCCUCGCCAUACCCAACCCUAACCCUACCCAUCAGAAACUAUCAAUUCCCGCUCAAUCCCGGACAAAUCUCCGGGUUCGCGCCAAGAUCGUACACAAGUACGUGCCCGCGGUCCACGUAAGCAAUUACUAGUGUACUCGCAAGUAAACCCUUGAAAUAUUUUCUGUUUAAUUUGCAAAAUUUCUCCCAAAGCUUUAGCCCAAAACAAGCAAAAACAAUUGGGUGAAGAGGCAAAUCUCGUUCGUCAGGCUUGGAAUUCUCCCACGAUGGGGUGAAAAUAAAACAUGGAACGCGACCGACUUACCGGAGAGGCGAAAUUGAUCGGAGAAUUUUCCGGCGAAGUGCUCUGAGACAGCUAAUCAGGCACCGGCCUCGUUGUUGGUAGAGUUGGAUGAAGUGGAGCUCUAAUCAAUCAUUUCCAUCUUUUCUUCCUUUGCCACUUGGAAUGGUAAGCACACAGAAUUGAGUUUUUGGAAUGAUACCCAAAAUUAAAGCUAAGGAUUUGGCAAUUUAUUGGAGGCAACGGAAGUGAGAAGAGAUUUUUGCAACAGCAUUGGAGCUUGCAUCUGACCACAAUUAGUGGCAUCACUUACUUCAGGAGCUCAGAGAUAUGUGUUUUAUUGUAGAUAAGAAAGAAUAGAGACAGGAUACAGAGUUUACCUUUAAUUUUAGUUCCUUCAAAACAGAUUGCAAGACCCUCAAGUUACAUGAUAGUGUCUUCUUCUUGUUUUUAAGAUUCUUUUUGUUUUAAGAUGUAGGCAGAGAACUAAAAUGAAGAAUAUCAUCAUCAGAUGGGCAAAAUGUCAUAGAUUGGUAGUAAGUCUUAGUUUGGCACUUUGCCUGCCAGAGAUCAACCUCAGAGAUCAAUUUUUACCCUAUCUACAAAUACUUUCUCGGCAUGAGUACCUUCCAUUAUGAAGAGUUCUGGUUGACAAUUCCUAUUCUGUAGCUAAUGACAAUUCCUAUCAUCUAUUGGUAUUGGUUUUCUAAUACUUGUUUUUAUUUGUUAGCACAAAGCUGUUUUGUCUUCCCUGAACAAAGUUCUGUGCUAUUCUGACUCUUGAACUUUUUAAUUUGUUUUGAAAGCGUGCUUGCAGUUUUUGGAGUUUAAUUAUGAGAAAAUUGGUUUUGCAUUUGUUGAUGAUUGAGGGUGAUGUUGCAAUUUGGCUUGAAAAAAAUAUUUAGUACAGAAUUGUCUUGGGAAGCCUGACUUGUUUAGUAUACAACAGUGCAUGUUAACCAAAUCCAGUUGAAACUAUUGCAGUUAUUGAAAAACAGGGAGUACCUUCCGUUAUGAUAUGGUUGACAAUUCCUAUUCUGUAGCUAAUGACAAUUCCUAAUCAUCUAUUGGUAUUGGUUUUCUAGUACUUGUUUUUAUUUAUUAGCACAGAGGUGUUCUGUCUUCCCUGAAGUUCUAUGCUAUUCUGACUCUUGAACUUUUUAAUUUGUUUUGAAAGUGUGCUAACAGUUUCUGGAGUUUAAUUAUGAGAAAAUUGGUUUUGCAUAUGAUGAAGAUUGAGGGUGAUGUUGCAAUUUGGCUUCAAAAAAGUAUUGAGGACGGAUCCAGCAACUGACACCUUUCCUAGUAAAUCAGUUUUCUUCUAGUAAUGUUCUUCUUGGAUUAGUUGUUCAAGAGUAGUGCGAUUUAAUUUCGGUUCAUUUUGUGCCUUCUUAAAAGGGGAUUCUAAUGCUCACCACCUUCAUUUCCCCCUUUUGUCUUUCCUUCUUUCCUCCUUUUACUAGUGUAAAAGGUUUAGAAAAGAAUGAAGUAUGAUUUUGGGUUAGCUGCAAAAAUGUCAUAUUCACCUUCAGUAAACAGGGUAUGCAAAUCUCAGAUCUGAAGCAAAAGGUAUUAGCUUCGUCUAAAUAAGAUUAUGGAGAACUUGGAUGCCCUAUCAACUCGCCUUUGGUGAUUUUUCUAGGGAGUUUCCACAAGCGAUCUUCCCCUUGACAGCAGGAGUUUGAUACAUGCCAGGGCAGAAGCUCAAUGUAGCACAUUUGCUGGGCUAUUGUGGCCUUUUUCUUUCUUUUUUUUGUUUGUGUGUGUGGGGGGGGGGGGGGGGGGGGGGGGGGAUUUUCUCCUGCCAAUUCCUUUCCCCCUGCAUACCUAAUUGAGUCGCCCUUAGGGGGAGGUUAGUACUCUUGUGUAUUGUAAUUGAAAUAAAACAGCCUGAGCUGGUUUUACGUUGCUUUA